UAUUUGCAACUAUGGAGGCUCAAAUGACAGCACUUGUUGGCUACAUUAAAGCGAAGGAAGGUGGUUCACUGCCUCCAGAGUUAGCUGCUGCCUUAUUUCCCAAUGAUACACAAUAGGCAUCAAACGUAGGAAGUGAAUCUCCAACACCCAAUGACAUAACUAGAUCAUCAGAUGAAAGCAACGCAAGUGGAGCAUGAGAGUCCUAAUUUUAGUGACAUCAGUUGUCUAGUCAUUUUUAUGUUUUGAAACUUGUUAUUUUGAGAAUAGCUAAAGAUGGUGGCAAUGGUUUGUGUAACUUUAUGUUUGGAGACUUGUUUAUAUUUGAGACUUAUUUUAGAUAUUUGUAUCAAACUCCACUUGAGUUGAAUUAUAAAUAUAUCAAUGACAAUGUUUAAAA